GAUGAACGCUGGCGGCGUGCCUAAUACAUGCAAGUCGAGCGAACAGACGAGGAGCUUGCUCCUCUGACGUUAGCGGCGGACGGGUGAGUAACACGUGGAUAACCUACCUAUAAGACUGGGAUAACUUCGGGAAACCGGAGCUAAUACCGGAUAAUAUAUUGAACCGCAUGGUUCAAUAGUGAAAGACGGUUUUGCUGUCACUUAUAGAUGGAUCCGCGCCGCAUUAGCUAGUUGGUAAGGUAACGGCUUACCAAGGCAACGAUGCGUAGCCGACCUGAGAGGGGGGUAGGCGGCAGUAGAGCGGGGGCAGGGUCAAUACUCCUACGGGAGGCAGCAGACGGGUAUCGUCGGCAGUGGGGGAAAGCAUGACGGAGCAACGCGGAGUGAGAGAUAAAGGCCUUGGGUUCGUAAAACUGUGUUAUUGGGGAAAAACAAAUGUGUAAGUAAAUAUGCCCGUAUUGACGGUACCUAAUAAAAAAGCAAGGGCUAACUACGUG
rnacentral:rRNA from 1 species